rnacentral:rRNA from 1 species
UAAGACGGAGGGGGCAAGUGUUGUCCGGAAUUAUUGGGUGUAAAGGGCAUGUAAAUGGUUGGGUAAGUCAGGUAUGAAAUCCCUCGGCUCAACCGAGGAAGUGUAUUUGAAACUAUCCGACUAGAGUUUGGGAGAGGAGAGCGGAACUCCCGGUGUAGCGGUGGAAUGCGUAGAUAUCGGGAGGAACACCAGAGGCGAAGGCGGCUCUCUAGUCCAAAACUGACAUCGAAAUGCGAAAGCUAGGGGAGCAAACAGGAUUAGAUACCCUGGUAGUCCUAGCUGUAAACGAUGGGUAUUAGACAUGGGCCGAAAUUCGGUUGGUGUCGAAGCUAACGCGUUAAAUACCUCACCUGGGGAGUACGGUCGCAAGACUG